rnacentral:rRNA from 1 species
UACAGAGGGUGCGAGCGUUAAUCGGAAUUACUGGGCGUAAAGCGUGCGUAGACGGCUAUCUAAGUCGGGUGUGAAAGCCCCGGGCUCAACCUGGGAAUUGCAUUCGAGACUGAAUAGCUAGGGUACGGUAGAGGGAAGUGGAAUUUCCGGUGUAGCGGUGGAAAUGCGCAGAUAUCAGGAAGAACACCUAUGGCGAAGGCAGCUCUCUGGGACGGUACUGACGCUGAGACGCGAAAGCGUGGGAGCGAACAGG